GGCUCAGGAUGAACGCUAGCGACAGGCUUAACACAUGCAAGUCGAGGGGCAGCACAGGUAGCAAUACCGGGUGGCGACCGGCGCACGGGUGAGUAACGCGUAUGCAACUUGCCUAUCAGAGGGGGAUAACCCGGCGAAAGUCGGACUAAUACCGCAUGAAGCAGGGAUCCCGCAUGGGAAUAUUUGCUAAAGAUUCAUCGCUGAUAGAUAGGCAUGCGUUCCAUUAGGCAGUUGGCGGGGUAACGGCCCACCAAACCGACGAUGGAUAGGGGUUCUGAGAGGAAGGUCCCCCACAUUGGUACUGAGACACGGACCAAACUCCUACGGGAGGCAGCAGUGAGGAAUAUUGGUCAAUGGCCGAGAGGCUGAACCAGCCAAGUCGCGUGAGGGAUGAAGGUUCUAUGGAUCGUAAACCUCUUUUAUAAGGGAAUAAAGUGCGGGACGUGUCCCGUUUUGUAUGUACCUUAUGAAUAAGGAUCGGCUAACUCCGUGCCAGCAGCCGCGGUAAUACGGAGUAUCCGAGCGUUAUCCGGAUUUAUUGGGUUUAAAGGGUGCGUAGGCGGCCUUUUAAGUCAGCGGUGAAAGUCUGUGGCUCAACCAUAGAAUUGCCGUUGAAACUGGGGGGCUUGAGUAUGUUUGAGGCAGGCGGAAUGCGUGGUGUAGCGGUGAAAUGCAUAGAUAUCACGCAGAACCCCGAUUGCGAAGGCAGCCUGCCAAGCCAUUACUGACGCUGAUGCACGAAAGCGUGGGGAUCAAACAGGAUUAGAUACCCUGGUAGUCCACGCAGUAAACGAUGAUCACUAGCUGUUUGCGAUACACUGUAAGCGGCACAGCGAAAGCGUUAAGUGAUCCACCUGGGGAGUACGCCGGCAACGGUGAAACUCAAAGGAAUUGACGGGGGCCCGCACAAGCGGAGGAACAUGUGGUUUAAUUCGAUGAUACGCGAGGAACCUUACCCGGGUUUGAACGCAUUCGGACCGAGGUGGAAACACCUUUUCUAGCAAUAGCCGUUUGCGAGGUGCUGCAUGGUUGUCGUCAGCUCGUGCCGUGAGGUGUCGGCUUAAGUGCCAUAACGAGCGCAACCCUUGCCACUAGUUACUAACAGGUAAAGCUGAGGACUCUGGUGGGACUGCCAGCGUAAGCUGCGAGGAAGGCGGGGAUGACGUCAAAUCAGCACGGCCCUUACAUCCGGGGCGACACACGUGUUACAAUGGCGUGGACAAAGGGAAGCCACCUGGCGACAGGGAGCGAAUCCCCAAACCACGUCUCAGUUCGGAUCGGAGUCUGCAACCCGACUCCGUGAAGCUGGAUUCGCUAGUAAUCGCGCAUCAGCCAUGGCGCGGUGAAUACGUUCCCGGGCCUUGUACACACCGCCCGUCAAGCCAUGGGAGCCGGGGGUACCUGAAGUCCGUAACCGCGAGGAUCGGCCUAGGGUAA
rnacentral:rRNA from 1 species